AAAAUGUACAUCUACUCUCGAUGUCUGGAUAAGUUCGUCGCCACAAAGACGCCUGCUGCCCUACGUCGCCGUGAGAACGCCUGAACUAGGAGGGAGAAGCCCAGCACAGUGACCUGACUGCAAUCGUGUGUUUGAGGCACUUUUCAUCCAACUCUACGAGCAGUACUGUGGAUCAAGGAGCGUGUAUGGAGUCAGGCACCAGUGUUUGAGCCAUACCCCCACAUCCGGCAAGUCAUUAUCAUUAAUAUCAUGGUGAUGGAGAAAAGCACCACCCGGCUCAAAGUGAUAAAUACUGCAACAAUCACAAGAUGUUGAGUUUAUAAACACUUUACCCAGCCAAUAAUAACCUAGUAUCUGUGCCAUUUCCUGUGUA
ensembl:lncRNA